CAGCACCUCAAGUGGUCAGGAUGAUUAUUGGGCCUAAAGCAUCCGUAGCCGGCGCUGUAAGUUUUCGGUUAAAUCUGUACGCUCAACGCACAGGCUGCCGGGAAUACUGCAGAGCUAGGGAGUGGGAGAGGUAGACGGUACUCGGUAGGAAGGGGUAAAAUCCUUUGAUCUAUUGAUGACCACCUGUGGCGAAGGCGGUCUACCAGAACACGUCCGACGGUGAGGGAUGAAAGCUGGGGGAGCAAACCGGAUUAGAGACCCGAGUAGUCC
rnacentral:rRNA from 1 species